ACACACACACACACACACACACACACACACGCACACAAAUGCAUCAUGCAAUUUCUUUUCCUCAGUGAGACUCUAAGCUUAGGUUACGCACCUUGAGACGCGACUAGCAAUAUGUGGUCGAUGAAUGCAAUGUUACUGCUGUUCGUUCUGGUAGGGGUAGCAAGUGAGACUUUUAUUGAACCUUUGGAAGUCAGAGCAUUGAGGUGGAUUCGCUGGGCUGCUGCAGUUGAUAAAUCUAUGAGACUGAUGCAACAGAAUUUAGUGCCUAUCCUGAAUAAAACCUGCGUUUUACACUGCAGCGACAAAAUGUUGGUUGCUGGAGUUAAAGUCGAGCGAACAGCGAAGAUAAAAUGUCCAGGUGACAGUUGGAGUGGAAUCGCUGUAUGGGCUGAUCCAAUAUUUGCAAUUCAUCUCGCCAUCUACGACUAUGUGGCAAAAGGCUGGCGAAAGAAUCGCAUUGUGAUGGAGGAAAUAAUUAAUUGGCUGGACAAACCUAUACAUCCUACUCCCUCAUCAGUUACUUGGAGUCAGCUUCAACCUUCCUGUAGUUUGAAUUCUUAAAGUUCUGCAGGAGUUCCAUGAGAUUAGUUUGAAUCAUGCUAUGGUUAAAUCAAUGUUUUCAUAAAAUUUGUGAAUUAGGGAUAAAAUCUUGUAAAGAAAAAAUACUAAAAAGAUGAAUGUAUACACUUCUACAAUAAAUA